AAAUUGAAGAGUUUGAUCAUGGCUCAGAUUGAACGCUGGCGGCAGGCCUAACACAUGCAAGUCGAGCGGUAACACAGAGAGCUUGCUCUCGGGUGACGAGCGGCGGACGGGUGAGUAAUGUCUGGGAAACUGCCUGA
rnacentral:rRNA from 1 species